rnacentral:lncRNA from 1 species
UUUUUUUUUUUUUUUUUAAUAGAGACAGGCCUUGAUAUGUUGUCCAGGCUGGUCUCAAACUCCUGGCCUCAAGUGAUUCUCCCACCUUGGCCUUCCAAAGUGCUGGAAUUACAGGCAUGAAUCACCAUGUCUGUUCAAAAAGACUAGUUUCAAAUCCCAGUGUAUAACAAUAUUUCUCUUUGCCUUUAAAAAAUAAUGACAUGGUUACCUCUGGAUCUUUCAGGAAUGACUCAGUCUGUUGGUGUUAUCAAUCAUUUACUGUCUCUUCCUUUAUUCUUUCCCAUCAUUUGGACAUUUGGCUGUUUACCCUGAUCAAACCCAUCCAUUCACUUCUAUUCUUAAUAGAAGUUCUGGGAAACUGGAAGGGAACAAGUUAGAAGCUAAAGCUAUUGGUGCAAAUAAAGCUUUGGAUUACCUGUGGAUUUUGAAUAUCUCUUCCAUUCCUGACCCCCUCAAUGGCAUGAAUAAUUCAGUAUCUGAACAUAUGAAUAGCCAUGAAUGACUGAUAAAGACAAUUCUCUUUAUGAUGCAGUUCAAGGAGCAGCUAGCUACAGUUUCCGUUUCUGCUGGUGCGCUAUUCCCAAGCCCCACAGGCUUGCAGCCUUCUCAUCAGCUGCUGUCCCUUUCAGUGGGGUAGGGGGAUGAGGCAGUGAUCACAGACACCUGGCUAUGGCUUGCAGCAGAGUUACACAACUGCACACACAAAAUGGCAGAGAAAGAGCAAGAGCUAAAAAGAUUCUGGUUUGGGCCCAAAUCACUAGUCAUUUCACUUCAUGAAGAAAAGCAAAUACCUUAUAAGCUUACAUUAUUUACAAUGCUCAGAUUUUUUGAACAUUCACCCAAAGCUGAGGACCACCACGCAACAGGGAACAGUUCAAUGAACUAUGUACAGAAUUUACAAGGAAGUUUACAUAAUAGUCUACAUUCCAUUAGCAAAUUUAUCUUUAUGUUCACUGCUUGCUUUCAGGAAACAGAUAUAUUUGUUUGUUUUUCUGUCCCCCUCAUCCCAAUAAUGCUGAUUGAACCACCAUGAACAAAUGCUUGUACAUUCCUUUUUUCUCCCUCCCUCGGAUAUAUGAUUUACUUUGUUUAGGAAAGACAAUGGUGACACAUCACCCUUUGGUAAGAUACUAUUCAAAAUUGUCCAUAUAAGAAAUCUUGGAGAUUAUUUCCUUCUAGAAGUAUUAUAAAUGUAUCUUUUUUUGUUUAACUUGGCAAAUUGUAAUUGAAUUCUUUCUUAAUAUUUAUAAAAUAGUCAUUGAUUUUAGAAAGAUGGAAUUUAGUCAACAUUUCUGUGUAUCGUACAUAAUGCUUUUUAAGGAAUGCCUAUCCUUGGACCCUUAAACCAAAGUUUAUUCUCUGCACCACAUUUUUUUCUCUUUGCAUUUUCAAGACCCUUUGUUGAUUAUAAUGCACAAUAAAGAUGGCGUGUAUGAAAACACAUAUCAUUCAGUUGGCAGAAUUACCAACCAAUCUGC